AACGAACGCUGGCGGCAGGCCUAACACAUGCAAGUCGAACGUGAAGCCACCUUCGGGUGGUGGAAAGUGGCAGACGGGUGAGUAACGCGUGGGAACGUGCCUUUCGGUUCGGAAUAACCCAGGGAAACUUGGGCUAAUACCGGAUACGCCCUUCGGGAGAAAGAUUCAUCGCCGAGAGAUCGGCCCGCGUCGGAUUAGCUAGUUGGUAGGGUAAUGGCCUACCAAGGCGACGAUCCGUAGCUGGUCUGAGAGGAUGACCAGCCACACUGGAACUGAGACACGGCCCAGACUCCUACGGGAGGCAGCAGUGGGGAAUAUCGGACAAUGGGCGAAAGCCUGAUCCAGCCAUGCCGCGUGGGUGAAGAAGGCCCUAGGGUUGUAAACCCCUUUCAGCGGGGAAGAUAAUGGCGGUACCCGCAGAAGAAGCCCCGGCUAACUCCGUGCCAGCCGCCGCGGUAACAC
rnacentral:rRNA from 1 species